rnacentral:ncRNA from 1 species
CAGCUCCCAGACCGAGGGGGAGUGACUUCUCCCCCAAAGCCCUUGCAGGGUUCAUCGCUGCGAGGGGAUACAGACCGUCCUGUGAUGCCCGUUGAUGGCGGGCAGUUGAGGCACGGAAUCCAAGCAUUUGCUGGCGUGGUAAAGGCAGACCUGGGCACGUUCACUUUUUGUGACAAGGAUUCCG